rnacentral:rRNA from 1 species
CUACGGGACGCUCCAGUGAGGAAUAUUGCACAAUGGGGGGAGCCCUGAUGCAGCAACGCCGCGUGGAGGAUGACGCAUUUCGGUGUGUAAACUCCUUUUAUAUGUCAAGAAAAUGACGGUAGCAUAUGAAUAAGCACCGGCUAACUCCGUGCCAGCAGCCGCGGUAAUACGGGAGGGUGCAAGCGUUACUCGGAAUCACUGGGCGUAAAGGACGCGUAGGCGGGUUGGAAAGUCAGGUGUGAAAUCCUACAGCUUAACUGUAGAACUGCACUUGAAACUUCUAAUCUAGAGUAUGGGAGGGGGAGAUGGAAUUAGUGGUGUAGGGGUAAAAUCCGUAGAUAUCACUAGGAAUACCUAAAGCGAAGGCGAUCUCCUGGAACAUUACUGACGCUAAGGCGUGAAAGCGUGGGGAGCAAACAGGAUUAGAUACCCGAGUAGUC